rnacentral:SRP_RNA from 1 species
CCCUUUGAACUCCAUCAGGACCGGAAGGUAGCAGUGGUAGAAGGUUGUAGCGGCGCGAUGUAGUAAGCUUGCUCUCA